rnacentral:rRNA from 1 species
GGACACUCUUCAAGGUGCUGCAUGGUUGUCGUCAGCUCGUGCCGUGAGGUGUCGGGUUAAGUCCCAUAACGAGCGCAACCCACGUCGUUAGUUGCCAACAGGUCAAGGCUGGGAAACUCUAACGAGACUGCCGGUGUAAACCGCGAGGAAGGUGUGGAUGACGUCAAAUCAGCACGGCCCUUACAUCCAGGGCUACACACGUGUUACAAUGGUCGGUACAGAGGGCAGCUACCAGGCAACUGGAUGCGAAUCUCAAAAACCGGUCUCAGUUCGGAUUGGAGUCUGCAACCCGACUCCAUGAAGCUGGAUUCGCUAGUAAUCGCGCAUCAGCCAUGGCGCGGUGAAUACGCUCCCGGGCCUU